rnacentral:tRNA from 1 species
GUUAAUGUAGCAAAACCUGGACUUGCAAAAGAUCUAAGCCCUUUUAAUAGAGGUUCAAAUCCUCUCACUAACU